rnacentral:rRNA from 1 species
UACCAGCACCCCGAGUUGUCGGGACGAUUAUUGGGCCUAAAGCAUCCGUAGCCUGUUCUACAAGUCCUCCGUUAAAUCCACCUGCUCAACGGAUGGGCUGCGGAGGAUACCGCAGAGCUAGGAGGCGGGAGAGGCAAACGGUACUCAGUGGGUAGGGGUAAAAUCCAUUGAUCUACUGAAGACCACCAGUGGCGAAGGCGGUUUGCCAGAACGCGCUCGACGGUGAGGGAUGAAAGCUGGGGGAGCAAACCGG